GGUUAUAUAAAACAUCUAAAAAACCCUAAUUCCUUAAUCGCCUACCCUAAUUCACUCCGCAAUCAAGAAAUCGCCGCCCUUCUUCCCACAUUCGAUGGCACCACAUCCAUCUUCUGAUGAUUAUGUUCAAGAGAUUAUUCCAUUUCCUAAAGAAGGAGAUUAAUCCAUUUUCUAUUUCUUCCUCCUUCGAUUAGGAUUUCCUUGAUUGUUGAAAUCGAUAAAGAUUCACUCUGUUCUUGGUUCGAUCUAAACAGUUAUGCUAUACGGUUCCUUUGUUAGUGUUAUUUCUUUGAAUCGGCGUCUCAAUCUCCUUUUAGGGUGGAAGAAAAUGAUGAAAUCAAUGGUCGUUUCAAGAUGGGAUUGUUUUCAAGAUUUAAGGUGAAGAAAAAAAAGAGAGUGAGGGUGAGGAGGGGGUGUAGACGAGGCACUGGCAAUGAAAAAAUGUGCAGAUUCCAUAAAACUUGCAUCAAUGAUCUUGUAUCAAAAAUCUUGAAGAGCUGCUGGUGCAUAUAGCCACAGUCAGGGUAUUAAAGGAUUGCGCGACACCAUUGUUGCUGGUAUUGAAGCUCGGGAUGGUUUUCCUGCUGAUCCAAAUUAUAUCUUUUUGACAGAAGGUCCAUAUGAUGAUGCAGUUAUUAAUAAGAUCAGAGAAUGCUGGUCAGUGAUACACAUUUGACGAGAGGACUAAAACAAUGCCGCCUUGAGGAUAUUGAUAAGAAAAAAAGGUAGGGCUCUAUUCAUUUCUCUCACGGGUCAAGGAAAAGAAGGCAAACACUUGACAUAAUAAAGUUGACUUUUGUAUAAAAUCCUAUGAGUUUUUUGGGAAACAUUUGUGUUAAAGUUGACUGUUGAUGCUAGAAACUGACCCGUUGUAGUUAUGUUUCUUCCUCGAUCUCAUUUGGUUCUCUAAUCGUUUGCGUUCGAAAGUGAAAUAUGUUGAAGGCGAACACCUUUUAUUUUGAAAAAACAUGGACAUUUCUUUUCUGGAGAAAACAUAGCAGGGUGGUAACUGGGAUUCAAUAGGAUUCGCACUGAAAUCAAGCCAAAUCCCGUCUUGAUCAUCGUCGUUAUUCAACGUUUUCAUAUCGUGAUUUUUAACGUUACUCGGUGAGCUGAAUCUAGACAUAUACUGUCUCCAUCUAGAAACCAUUGCAAACGUUCUCCAAACGGCUUCUUUACUAUGAAGAUAAAUCGGUUUUCUCAUCGAGUCAGUAACUAAAGUUGAAAAAGUCUCGACCUGCUCUGACGAUGGUGCGGUCCCCACUUCAACCGGAAGCUUGAUCAGCUCAAGUUUACCAAACGAAAGUGCAUCUUGAAAUGCGGUUUCGUAGAAUACAUCGUUAACACUUUCUGCUCGAAGUUCAAUGAUCGUUUUAAACCCAUUUUCAAGCAACCAGUUCAAACUUUCCACUGUCAGUUGACUACCUCUCCAGAACCCAACUUCAUAAUCAUUAGGUUCGAUAUCUUCUUUAGACGUAGAUAAAUAAACAGGAUUCCAGUUAGCAAACAACGAUUGAGGCAGAUAAUCGUCGCCACGGGAAAGACCCGAAUCAUAACAAACGCUUUUCAGCCGUUGAAGUUUCCUCCAAACGACGCGGCUUCAGAUGAAUCAGUUAGGGCACAUUUUCAUCAUCAUUUUUUGUAAGUUUUACUAAAAGUUUAUAUUAAUUAAUCUGAAACUGUCUUGACGAGUCGAGUUAAAACUGUAAACACGUUUGGCUAACAGUAAGUCAUGUCAGUUUCUGUAUGCACUUGCUUGCUGUGUAGGUUGUAUAUGUAUAUUUGGGUGAGAUUUGAUCUUUUGAAAUUAAAUGUUCCGAUGUAUAUUGAAUAUUGAGACACAACAUGUAAGAAUGGGAUAUAAUCUAAUAUGCUAUGGGAAUUUGUAGGAAGCAUUCUCCAGUUGACAUAUAGGGUAUUAGGGUUCUCAGAAUCGUGUGGUUUAUAACAUAUGACCGUUUCCUAGAUGUGUGGCCUAACCUGUUUAUUGUAGAAACAAUAUACAUGUUGAGGUGUGUUUGAAGUUUGAACCAGUCAUCUAAGAGUUAAAUUUAGUGGUAGCCCAUAUAUGUGGAAUCUUGUAUUUGUAUUGGUAUUGGUAUUGUGGAAGGUGUUUUGUGAGUUUGUACGCAUAUGUAAACCCUUAUAUGAAAACAAGUUUUUUUUGGAAGUCAUAAGCUUAGACCUAUUUGAAAUGCUUAAUAGAUCUGCUACCAAAUAUAUAAAGCCAACAUCGUGAACUUUACUAUUUGCCUGCUAUGGAAGUCUUCCACAAUUCAUCCUCUAUAUUUGGUUAGACAUCAAUAAUAUUAACUUUUAAUUGCUUUUAUUACCAAAGUGAGCCAGUUGGGUAAUGGGUCAAAAUGAGUUGGGGUCAAAACAGGUAGUUCUAAAUGAUGAAAUUUCAGUUACCGACUUACCGGGCAUAUUUUUGCAAGCCAAGCUAGAGACCGUGAAAAAGGUGGGCUCUAAAUGAUGAAAUUUCAGUUACCGACUUACCGGGCAAUCAAAGUUUGUUUCACUAGAAGCUGAUUCACUCGACACACCAACUCCAAAUUAAUAAAUGAAUAAACUUUAUGUUAUAGUUUCACUAUUAUCUGGUUUGUGUAUCUGUUUUUUGUGAAUCUUAUUCGCAGGAUGAGAUUGUGAGUGCUUCAGGAUGAGUUUGGUAUCGCUGUGGAAUAUGAGAGUGCCCAGAGCAUAUAAAAUCGAUCAAGAUGCAGCCAAUCUUUUUGAGACAAUCUUAUAAAAUUAUGAUUAUAACCAUGUUGCCGAAUAAGAGGAUACAAAAAAGUAAGAUCUAAGCUCUAUUGGCAAAUAUUCUUGCUGUAACAUAAUAUUGUCAAGGUUGUUCUUUUUACCUCCA